GGCAGAUGAUGGCUUUUUCUCACAAUGGUCAACAGAUGCUCCUGUGGGCACUACUGAUAAUGCCAGUGUCUUAGCUGAUACCAGAGA
rnacentral:snoRNA from 1 species